AACGGAGAUUAUACGCAGAGGCGAUUUCGGUCAAAUCAUGUCAAUUCUUAGUGGCGGACGGGUGAGUAACGCGUGGGUAACCUGCCUUACACUGGGGGAUAACACUUAGAAAUAGGUGCUAAUACCGCAUAAGCGCACGAAGCCGCAUGGAUUUGUGUGAAAAACUCCGGUGGUGUAAGAUGGACCCGCGUCUGAUUAGCUUGUUGGCGGGGUAACGGCCCACCAAGGCGACGAUCAGUAGCCGGCCUGAGAGGGUGGACGGCCACAUUGGGACUGAGACACGGCCCAAACUCCUACGGGAGGCAGCAGUGGGGGAUAUUGGACAAUGGGGGGAACCCUGAUCCAGCGACGCCGCGUGAGUGAAGAAGUAUUUCGGUAUGUAAAGCUCUGUCAGCAGGGAAGAAAGAAAUGACGGUACCUGACCAAGAAGCCCCGGCUAACUACGUGCCAGCAGCCGCGGUAAUACGUAGGGGGCAAGCGUUAUCCGGAAUUACUGGGUGUAAAGGGAGCGUAGACGGUUAAGUAAGUCUGGAGUGAAAGGCCGGGGCCCAACCCCGGGACUGCUCUGGAAACUAUUGAACUUGAGUGCAGGAGAGGUAAGCGGAAUUCCUAGUGUAGCGGUGAAAUGCGUAGAUAUUAGGAGGAACACCAGUGGCGAAGGCGGCUUACUGGACUGUAACUGACGUUGAGGCUCGAAAGCGUGGGGAGCAAACAGGAUUAGAUACCCUGGUAGUCCACGCCGUAAACGAUGAUUACUAGGUGUC
rnacentral:rRNA from 1 species